rnacentral:rRNA from 1 species
UCAAAGAUUAAGCCAUGCAUGUCUAAGUAUAAGCAAUCUAUACAGUGAAACUGCGAAUGGCUCAUUAAAUCAGUUAUCGUUUAUUUGAUAGUACCUUACUACUUGGAUAACCGUGGUAAUUCUAGAGCUAAUACAUGCUAAAAACCCCGACUUCGGAAGGGGUGUAUUUAUUAGAUAAAAAACCAAUGCUCUUCGGGGCUCCUUGGUGAUUCAUAAUAACUUAACGAAUCGCAUGGCCUUGUGCCGGCGAUGGUUCAUUCAAAUUUCUGCCCUAUCAACUUUCGAUGGUAGGAUAGUGGCCUACCAUGGUUUCAACGGGUAACGGGGAAUUAGGGUUCUAUUCCGGAGAGGGAGCCUGAGAAACGGCUACCACAUCCAAGGAAGGCAGCAGGCGCGCAAAUUACCCAAUCCCGACACGGGGAGGUAGUGACAAUAAAUACUGAUACAGGGCUCUUUUGAGUCUUGUAAUUGGAAUGAGUACAAUUUAAAUCCCUUAACGAGGAACAAUUGGAGGGCAAGUCUGGUG